GCACAAUGGGCAUGACAUGACAUGCCCCACCUCUGCUGAGUCCGUUGGUUGUGGCCCUACUUAUCUCAGAUGAUCUUUUCUUCAGUGCAUCCCUGCCGAUAAUUUAUGCCAGUUGAUACAGACAAGCCCAAAGUUAUCAAUGAAGAUGAGACCGAAUGCCAGUGGUGGUGGGAAUCCGUGGAUCCCACAUCCCCUCUACGUCUAUAGGACGGGAAGGAAAUACACGUCACGGAAAGGGCCUUUGAGAGUAGCAGAGAAUAACAGGAAACUCUUCCGUUGGUUUCUGUGAGGCGGGACUACUGUGAGCAAAAUGUCAGCUCCAAAUUAUGGACAUGUUGAACACAGUAUCCCCCAAUGGGCAGUUCAGGGACAAACAUAGAAAUACUCGGUAUAAACUAGCACUGAUGCAAUAAAAACUGAAACACGCUGCAUUCACCUCAGUUGGGUCGCCAGCGCCCAGGAUCCAGACCCGGCGCUCAUUUGCAUCUAUCUCACCGCCCUGACGUCCGAAAAGUGCGAGGGACUGAUAAUCACUUUCCAGAUCUUAUAUCGAAGGAGGGAAAUCUCUUCGGCAGCGUGCCGACCAACGUACAGCCCGUAGUGCUAUCUGGGGUUGCGAUAUAGCAGAAGUCUUGUUAAGAAGCGAUCAGGGUACGAAAAUUGACGAAUAAAUGUGACCACCACAUUCUGUAGUCAUAUCAUUUGGAUCUCCACCGGCCGUGCAAAUAGCAAGUCUUUGCAAAGAAUGGACCGGUGACUUUUCUCUUAUCAACUUGGUUUCCAAUUGUUCCUCGUCCAUUGCCAGAGGCGGGGAUGUCGUCGUCUUGAAACAGAUAUAUCGGCUUUUGACAGUGACACAGUGUGAGACGGGUCCCUUUCAACUUCAGAAUUGACACCAGCAAUUGCAAACGUGCCUUGGCCUUGACAACGAAGGACAACCAGUCAUGCUUGCAUUAUCAGGCCAUUCUUAGUGAAGGAAGAAUUUGGAGUGUUGCCUCUUUAUAAAUGCAAUCUCACCAUUGCCAUGGCAAAUAUAGUUCGG
rnacentral:sRNA from 1 species